rnacentral:rRNA from 1 species
GAUGAACGCUAGCGGGAGGCCUAAUACAUGCAAGUCGAACGGUAAGGUCCCUUCGGGGAUACACGAGUGGCGGACGGGUACGUAACGCGUACGAAACAUACCUUCAACAGGGAGAUACCUCCGGGGAAACUGGAAAUAAUACCCCAUAGUAUUGAGAUAUCGCAUGAUUAUUUCAAUUAAAGUCUUUGGCGAUUGAAGAUUGUCGUGCGUCUGAUUAGCUAGUUGGUGAGGUAACGGCUCACCAAGGCGACGAUCAGUAGCUGGUCUGAGAGGAUGAUCAGCCACACUGGAACUGAGACACGGUCCAGACUCCGUACGGGA